GCGGCGGGCCCCGGGAAGAAAGGAACAUGGCUCCUGCGGCGGACAGCGCCGAGCGCGGCACGGGGCGACGGCGCGCCGGGCGCCAGUGACCGCCAUGGUGAACUCGAGCCGCGUGCAGCCGCAGCAGCCCGGGGACGCGAAGCGGACGCCGGCGCCCCGAGCGGCGGGCCCGGGCCGGCUGAUGGCGGGCGGGCGGGCCGCGGGCGCCGGCCUCGCCGGCCCGGGCGGCCUCCGCGAGCAGAGGGGCCUGGAGAUCGAGAUGGAGCGCAUCCGGCAGGCGGCCGCGCGGGACCCCCCGGCCGGAGCCUCGGCCUCCCCAUCUCCUCCGCUCUCGUCGUGCUCGCGGCAGGCGUGGAGCCGCGACAACCCGGGCUUCGAGGCCGAGGAGGAGGAGGAGGAAGAGGAGGUGGAGGGAGAAGAAGGGGGAAUGGUGGUGGAGAUGGACGUAGAGUGGCGCCCGGGCAGCCGGAGGUCGGUCGCCUCCUCGGCCGUGAGCUCUGUGGGCUCCCGGGGCCGGGGGCUGGGGGGCUACCACAGCGCGGGCCCUCCGAACGGGAGGCGGCGCCAGCGAGAGGACCAGGGCCCGCCGAGCCCCAGCCCGACCGGCGGCGGCGGCGGGGACCCGCUCCAUCGCCACCUCUCCCUGGACGGGCAGCUGCCCCGAGUGGCCUGGGCCGAGAGGCUGGUUCGCGGGCUGCGAGGUCUCUGGGGAACAAGACUCAUGGAGGAAAGCAGCACUGACCGAGAGAAACACCUUAAAAGUGUUUUACGGGAACUGGCCACAUAUCUCCUUUUUCUCAUAGUCCUGUGCAUCUUGACCUAUGGGAUGAUGAGCUCCAGUGUGUACUACUAUACCCGGAUCAUGUCCCAGCUCUUCCUGGACACCCCGGUGUCCAAAACGGAGAAAACUAACUUUAAAACUCUUUCUUCAGUGGAAGACUUCUGGAAGUUUGCAGAAGGCGCUUUGUUGGAUGGGCUCUACUGGAAGGUGCAACCCAGCAACAGAACUGAAGGCGACGACCGAAGCUUCAUCUACUACGAGAACCUACUCUUAGGGGUGCCACGUAUACGGCAACUGAGAGUCAGAAAUGGAUCCUGUUCCAUCCCCCUGGACUUGAGAGAUGAGAUUAAAGAGUGCUAUGAUGUCUACUCUGUCAGCAGUGAGGACAGGGCUCCAUUCGGUCCGAGAAAUGGAACCGCUUGGAUCUACACAAGUGAAAAAGACUUGAAUGGGAGUAGCCACUGGGGAAUCAUUGCAACUUAUAGUGGAGCUGGCUAUUACCUGGAUUUGUCAAGAACAAGAGAGGAAACAGCCGCUCAGAUUGCUAACCUCAAGAAAAAUGUCUGGCUGGACCGAGGAACCCGGGCCACUUUUAUUGACUUUUCAGUGUACAAUGCCAACGUUAAUCUGUUCUGUGUGAUCAGGUUAUUGGUCGAAUUCCCAGCCACAGGCGGUGUGAUUCCAUCUUGGCAGUUUCAGCCUGUAAAGCUGAUCCGAUAUGUCACGACUUUAGAUUUCUUCCUGGCAGCCUGUGAGAUUAUCUUUUGUUUCUUUAUCCUUUACUAUGUGGUGGAAGAGAUACUGGAAAUUCGCAUUCACAAGCUGCGCUAUUUCAGGAGUUUCUGGAAUUGUCUGGAUGUUGUGAUCAUCGUGCUGUCAGUGGUAGCUGCAGGAAUUAACAUACACAGAACAUCAAAUGUGGAGGUGCUCCUACAGUUUCUAGAAGAUCAAAAUGCUUUCCCCAACUUUGAGAAUCUGGCAUACUGGCAAAUACAGUUCAACAACAUAGCUGCUGUCAUAGUAUUUUUUGUCUGGAUUAAGCUCUUCAAAUUCAUCAACUUUAACAGGACCAUGAGUCAGCUCUCCACAACCAUGUCUCGGUGUGCGAAAGACCUCUUUGGCUUUGCAAUUAUGUUCUUCAUUAUUUUCUUAGCAUAUGCUCAGUUGGCAUACCUUGUCUUUGGCACUCAGGUUGAUGACUUCAGUACUUUCCAAGAGUGUAUCUUCACUCAAUUCCGUAUCAUUUUGGGUGAUGUCAACUUCGCAGAGAUUGAGGAAGCUAAUCGAGUUUUGGGACCAAUUUAUUUCACUACAUUUGUGUUCUUUAUGUUCUUCAUUCUUUUGAAUAUGUUUUUGGCCAUCAUCAAUGAUACUUACUCUGAAGUUAAAUCUGAUUUGGCCCAGCAGAAAGCUGAAAUGGAACUCUCAGAUCUUGUCAGAAAGGGCUACCAUAAAGCCUUGGUCAAACUAAAACUGAAGAAAAAUACCGUGGAUGACAUUUCAGAGAGUCUGCGGCAAGGGGGAGGCAAGUUAAACUUUGAUGAACUUCGACAAGAUCUCAAAGGGAAGGGCCAUACUGAUGCAGAGAUUGAGGCGAUAUUCACAAAGUACGACCAGGAUGGAGACCAAGAACUGACUGAACAUGAGCACCAGCAGAUGAGAGACGACCUGGAAAAAGAGAGGGAGGACCUGGACUUGGAUCACAGCUCUUUACCACGCCCCAUGAGCAGCCGAAGUUUCCCUCGAAGCCUGGAUGACUCUGAGGAGGAUGAUGAUGAAGACAGUGGGCAUAGCUCCAGAAGGAGGGGAAGCAUCUCCAGUGGGGUUUCUUACGAAGAGUUUCAAGUCCUAGUGAGACGGGUGGACCGAAUGGAGCACUCCAUCGGCAGCAUUGUGUCCAAGAUUGAUGCUGUGAUAGUGAAGCUGGAGAUCAUGGAGCGGGCCAAACUGAAGAGAAGGGAAGUGCUGGGAAGGCUGCUGGAUGGCGUGGCUGAGGAUGAAAGGCUGGGUCGUGACAGUGAAAUCCACAGGGAACAGAUGGAACGACUAGUGCGGGAAGAGUUGGAACGCUGGGAAUCCGAUGACGCAGCUUCCCAAAUAAGUCAUGGUUUAGGCACACCUGUGGGACUAAAUGGUCAGCCUCGCCCCAGGAGCUCCCGGCCUUCUUCCUCCCAGUCUGCAGAAGGAAUGGAAGGUGGAGGUGGAAACGGGAGUUCCAACAUCCACGUGUAGGACAUGUGCUACUCUAUGUGUUCUUAAUAGGUGAGAAGGUGACUGUCCUGAGUUGCCAUGACAGGUACACUAUUUAUAUGCCCUGACCACCGUAUGAUGCUGGUCUUUGUGACCAAUCGUUAAUUCUUCUGCACUUUAAUUUAUUUUAGAUAAACUUUGCCCAUGGAUCAAAGAAGAUGUUUUUUCUUUUUCUCAUAUAAGAAAUCCAGGUGUAAAUAUUGAGUACAGAAAAGAAAAUCUUUGUAAAGUAUAUUGAGUGGUAUGCCCACUUGGUACCAUAACUGAGUCUCCUCAGUUGACAAUGAAGUAGCCUUUUAAAGCUAAAAAAGAACUGUGAAAAGGCUUCUGAGUUUUUUAUUUCCAAUCACAAAAAUCAGUAUUGUCAUUUUUGCCGAGUGUGUGAGGGGAAAAUAGGGGCAUUCCUUUCCACUGAGGCUUCGCUCAUGGGCUUAAUACAUAGCUUUCUUUUAAGAAAGGAGCCUUUUAUUUCAACUACCUUCCUGGGGUACACUUUUCUAAAAGAUGAGCUAGAAAAGAACCCCAAACCAUAGAAUGGGUAUGUAGUCAUUAUGCUAGAAUUUGUAUGAAUGGUUACGAUAAAUGUUGAACACUAUGCUUUUUUGUUAUUUUAUCAUAUCUAAUGCCUGGGGGACUAACCAUUUCUCUUAAUUUUUACACUGUUUUCACUCUCAUUUGAAAUGAGCUGCAUGAAACCACUAAAGCUCAAUUGUGGGUUAAAAUGUCAUCUCUGACCAUAACACAGUAGAAUUGCAAGGAGCCAAAUCACUAAAUUUGAUUUUUUUCUAAUAAUUAGUUUAGUAUAAAGAUUUAUCUGUAUAGUGUUUUUCCCAUGUGGCUCAACUUAUUUGCAACUGAAUUUAAUGUUGUAACUAAUCUAGGAAGAUCAAGUUACUACAUUUUUUAGGAUGUACUGAAUGUUUUAACUGAGCAAAUAUGUUCAUUUUAAACAAAAUAUUAAGGAAUUUUGAAAUUCAUAUAAAAUAUUAUAAAACGAAGGUUUGAGUUUUAUACCAUUUUAAGAACACAGAACUCAAAUACUCUUGAUCCUGCAUUUCAAAACUAGAAUUUAUAACCCAAGUGGAGCUCAAUUUAAUGAAAAGGAGUUUGGGUUAUUGGAAGUUCAACCAUUAUCAGAAGGUAUAAGCUAAAGUUUGAGUUUGCAGCAGUUUUUUUUUUUUUUUCAUUAGGAGAGGGCCUCACCAAAUUUAUGGGGAAGAAACCUAUUUCUCAACAAAAACUGAAAAUCUUAUUUUUCAAAACUGAGUAAGCUGACCCUUGAGAGCAAGAGAGAAUGCAGUGCUGAAUCUUCAUACCUGAUUCCCCUGUUGACUUUUCAUGAGUUCCUCAGUGGGUACGUAACAAGAGGUGGAAUGCUGAGUCCCAGGUAUAUAAACAUUUAAUUUCACCCAGAACUGGCAGGUUGCCCUCCAGAACAACGGCAGCAGUCUACAGUUUCACUACAUGCAUGAAAGUACCAGUUGUACCCAGACCCUCACCAGCAUUGGUACCAUCCAGCUUCCUAAUCUUUGUAAUGGAAUGGUUUUGAAAUAAGGUGUCAUUUUAUUUUGCAUUUCUCUGAUUCCUAAUAAGGUUGAACAUUGCCUUAUAUAGUUGUUCAACAUUUGGGUUUCCUUUUUGUAAAUUGCCUAUUCAAAUCUUUAAAAUAGUACACUUGGAUCUAAUGGGAAACAGGUAUGUUUCUGUUCAUUGUCUAUUUUUCCACUGGGUCAUAGUCUAGUUUGUUGAUUUGCAUAAGUUCCUUGUGUGGUUUAAGUAUUAAUCCCUUAUCAGUUUUGGACUGUUAAUAUCUCUCAUCAGACGGGUAAUUCUGUCAGUGUUCCCUUGGUGUGUACUGUUAUGACUUGGGUUCUUUCAAGUACAAUUCAGUUCACUGAUGUCUAUAAAUGUUUCUGUUGAAAAUAAUUCUUGCUGAAAAACAGUAUGAUGGCAGGUGAAAAGAAGACAACCAAAAAGUCACUGAAUACUGAAAUCAAGAUGCUCCCUUUUUAAUGUGGGGUAAAUCAUGUAAAUUUAAGAGGAAUUUAGGAAAAUUUUUUAAGGAAUAAUAAUUUCAGGUAGGCAAUUGUAAGGAAGAUAACAAUCAUGCAUCCCAAGGCUAUGUGAUUCCUCCACAGGCCCCAAGGUGAGAGAUCGAUGCCCUGGUUUUCCAGAAAUUCUUCGCCAGUACAUCUGAAAUUCAACAGAAAAAGAAUACGACUUCAUUCUUACCAUCUGUCAAAUUUCACUCAAUAUAGUCACUGUUCCUUAAAAAAGCCUUUAGGUUACCAAGUCUUAAAUAUCCAUCCCUUCAUUUAUAA